UAGUCCACGCCGUAAACGAUGGAUACUAGCUGUUCGGCUUCGGCUGAGUGGCUAAGCGAAAGUGAUAAGUAUCCCACCUGGGGAGUACGUUCGCAAGAAUGAAACUCAAAGGGAUUGACGGGGGCCCGCACAAGCGGUGGAGCAUGUGGUUUAAUUCGAUGAUACGCGAGGAACCUUACCAGGGCUUAAAUGUAGUCUGACAGCUUUAGAAAUAGAGUUUUCUUCGGACAGAUUACAAGGUGCUGCAUGGUUGUCGUCAGCUCGUGCCGUGAGGUGUCAGGUUAAGUCCUAUAACGAGCGCAACCCCUGUUGUUAGUUGCCAUCGAGUAAUGUCGGGAACUCUAACAAGACUGCCGGUGCAAACCGUGAGGAAGGUGGGGAUGACGUCAAAUCAUCACGGCCCUUACGUCCUGGGGCCACACACGUGCUACAAUGGCCGGUACAGAGAGCAGCCACUUCGUGAGAAGGAGCGAAUCUAUAAAACCGGCCUCAGUUCGGAUCGGAGUCUGC
rnacentral:rRNA from 1 species